rnacentral:rRNA from 1 species
GUCGAGAAUCUUUCACAAUGGGGGCAACCCUGAUGGAGCGACGCCGCGUGGAGGAUAAGGUCUUCGGAUUGUAAACUCCUGUCAUGCGAGAACAAGGUACUCAGGUUAAUAACCUGAAUGUUUGAUGGUACCGCAAGAGGAAGAGACGGCUAACUCUGUGCCAGCAGCCGCGGUAAUACAGAGGUCUCAAGCGUUGUUCGGAAUCACUGGGCGUAAAGGGUGCGUAGGCUGCGCCGUAAGUCAGAUGUGAAAGCUCAGGGCUCAACCCUGAAAUUGCAUCCGAUACUGCGGUGCUUGAGAAAUGAAGGGGAGUCUAGAAUUUUCGGUGUAGCAGUGAAAUGCGUAGAUAUCGAAAGGAAUACCAAAGGCGAAGGCAGGACUCUGGGCAUUUUCUGACGCUGAUGCACGAAGGCCAGGGUAGCGAACGGGAUUAGAUACCCCAGUAGUCC